CUCACUACCAGGUGGCAGUAUAGAAAGUAGUUCGUUGAUGAUGUGUGGUACAUCUGUUUCGUCAAACAAAACAAGAUAAAUACAGUGCACUUUGUUGUCAUUCUUACACGGAACAACUAGAAAUGCGGGUAGACAGAUCGGACUAGCCGAUGAGCUCCUGGUUCGUCUGAGAGCCUUAACAUCGCAAGUUCUACAAUGGCAGAAGGAGUAGCUAGUUUGCCAUCGAGUGCCUCCCAGUGUGCCAGAUAUGGGAAUGUUCACCAGAUAUGGAGGUUAAUGGGGAAAUAAAAUCAACAGAGAAGACCAAAAUUGACAUCUGUUGUUCUGCUGUGUUGGAUUACAGAAAAUGAAAGGAAGAAAACUGUGAAAGACCACCAUAUGAACCAUUGGCUUUUAAAAU